rnacentral:rRNA from 1 species
CUACAAAUGAAUUGACGGGGCCCGCACAAGCGGUGGAGCAUGUGGUUUAAUUCGAUGCAACGCGAAGAACCUUACCAAGGCUUGACAUACACCGGUAACGCCCAGAGAUGGGUGCCCCUUUGUGGUCGGUGGACAGGUGGUGCAUGGUUGUCGUCAGCUCGUGUCGUGAGAUGUUGGGGUUAAGUCCCGCAACGAGCGCAACCCUUGUCCAUAGUUGCCAGCAUUCAGUUGGGCACUCUAAGGAGACUGCCGGUGUUAAACCGGAGGAAGGUGGGGAUGACGUCAAGUCCUCAUGGCCCUUAUGUCCAGGGCUACACACGUGCUACAAUGGCCGGUACAAAGGGCUGCAAGACCGUGAGGUUGAGCGAAUCCCAGAAAGCCGGUCUCAGUUCGGAUUGGAGUCUGCAACUCGACUCCAUGAAGUUGGAAUCGCUAGUAAUCGCGGAUCAGCAUGCCGCGGUGAAUACGUUCCCGGGCCUU